rnacentral:rRNA from 1 species
UACGUAGGUGGCAAGCGUUGUCCGGAAUUAUUGGGCGUAAAGGGCGUGUAGGUGGAUUCUUAAGUCGUGUGUCUAAGUGCGGAGCUCAACUCCGUAUGGGCGCAGGAAACUGGGAAUCUUGAGUGCAGGAGAGGAAAGUGGAAUUCCCAGUGUAGCGGUGAAAUGCGUAGAUAUUGGGAGGAACACCAGUGGCGAAGGCGACUUUCUGGACUGUGUCUGACAAUGAGGCGCGAAAGAUAGGGGAGCGAACGGG